CCCUUAGAUGUUCUGGGCUGCACACGUGCUACACUGGCAGGUUCAGCGAGCUUCAUGCCCUGAUCUGAAAGGAAUGGGAAAUCUUUUCAAAACCUGCCGUGCUUGGGAUAGGUGUUUGCAAUUAUUCAUCUUCAACGAGGAUUGCCUUGUAAGCGCACGUCAUCAGCGUGCAUUGAAUACGACCCUGUAUUCUGUACACACCGCCCGUCGCUCCUACCGAUUGAAGUUUUCGGUGAGUUGACAGGAGGAUUUUUUUGAAACUGGUUCGCCAGUGGAUUUUAGAUCCAAAUGCCAACGAAUCGAUGGCUUUAGAGGAAGGAGAAGUCGUAACA
rnacentral:rRNA from 1 species